ACACUGGGAUCUCUGUUUAAUAACUCAUGGCUUCUAGGACUGGCAUUCCACCCAUAGAGGUUGUCUGUCUCUGGAGACUGCUUCAGAAAAAGGUGGCUGAGAAGAAAAGGAAGACUAUGGAGAUAGAUUUGCAUUAAAUGCUACCAGAUAUCUGGAAGGAAGCUGAAAAAUUCAUGUCACUGUGGUCAGAAGAGGGUAUCAGAUCUUUAGGAGAUGGAGUUAUAGGAAGUUGUGAGUCACAGGAUGUUGCUGGAAACUGAGUCCUCUGAAAGAGCAAU
rnacentral:lncRNA from 1 species